GGGCAUUUGGCACAGUGGUAGCGCGCACGCUUCGCAACCUGAAGGUCAGGGAUACUACUGCGUGAGGACCAGAGUUCAAUCCUCUGAAUGUCCA
rnacentral:tRNA from 1 species